AUUGAACGCUGGCGGCAGGCUUAACACAUGCAAGUCGAACGAGUGGCGGACGGGUGAGUAAUGCUUCGGAAUCUAGCCUAUGGAGGGGGAUAACUACGUGAAACUGUAGCUAAUACCGCGUACUAUAGGAUGAGCCCAUGUGGGAUUAGGUAGUUGGUGAGGUAAAGGCUCACCAAGCCGACGAUCUCUAGCUGGUCUGAGAGGACGACCGGCAACACGGGGACGGAGACACGGCCCAGACUCCUACGGGAGGAAGCAGUGGGGAAUAUUGGACAAUGGGGGAAAGCUGAUGCAGCCAUGCCGCGUGUAUGAAGAAGGCCUUCGGGUUGUAAAGUUCUUUCGGUAGCGAGGCGUUAUCUACAGAAGAAGCACCGGCUAACUACGUGCCAGCAGCCGCGGUAAUAC
rnacentral:rRNA from 1 species